rnacentral:rRNA from 1 species
UACGUAGGGCGCAAGCGUUUGUCCGGAAUUAUUGGGCGUAAAGAGCUUGUAGGCGGUCUGUCGCGUCUGCUGUGAAAAUCCGGGGCUCAACCCCGGACUUGCAGUGGGGUACGGGCAGACUAGAGUGUGGUAGGGGAGACUGGAAUUCCUGGUGUAGCGGUGAAAUGCGCAGAUAUCAGGAGGAACACCGAUGGCGAAGGCAGGUCUCUGGGCCACUACUGACGCUGAGAAGCGAAAGCAUGGGGAGCGAACAGG